UUACAAUCCUGUUGUUUUACUUUACAGUCCACUAGAUUUCCUUUACAAUCCUGUUGUUUUACUUUACAGUCCACUAGAUUUCCUUUACAAUCCUGUUGCUUUACUUUACAGUCCACUAGAUUUCCUUUACAAUCAUGUUGCUUUACUAUACAGUCCUGUUGCUUUACUUUACAGUUAUGUUGUUUUACUUUACAGUCCUGUGGUUUUCCUUUAGAGUAAUGUUUCUUUACUUUACAGUACUGUUUUACUUUACAGUACUGUUUUACUUUACUGUCCUGUUUCUUUCCUUUACAGUCAUGUGGUUUUCCUUUAGAGUAAUGUUUCUUUCCUUUACAGUCCUGUGGUUUUCCUUUAGAGUAAUGUUUCUUUACUUUACAGUACUGUUUUACUUUACUGUCCUGUGGUUUUACUUUACAGUACUGUUUUACUUUACUGUCCUGUUUCUUUACUUUACAGUCCUGUGGCUUUACUUUACAGUACUGUUUUACUUUACUGUCCUGUUUCUUUACUUUACAGUCCUGUGGCUUUACUUUACAGUACUGUUUUACUUUACUGUCCUGUUUCUUUACUUUACAGUCCUGUGGCUUUACUUUACAGUACUGUUUUACUUUACUGUCCUGUUUCUUUACUUUACAGUCCUGUGGCUUUCCUUUACAGUACUGUUUUACUUUACUGUCCUGUUUCUUUACUUUACAGUCCUGGUGUUUUACUUUACAGUUCUGGUGUUUUCAUUUACAGUACUGUUUUACUUUACUGUCCUGUUUCUUUCCUUUACAGUCCUGGUGUUUUACUUUACAGUCCUGGUGUUUUAAUUUACAGUCCUGGUGUUUUACUUUACAGUUCUGGUGUUUUAAUGUACAGUCCUGGUGUUUAAUUUUACAGUCCUGAUGCUUUAAUUUACAGUCCUGGUGCUUUACUUUACAGUCCUACUGUUUUACUUUACAGUCCUGGUGAUUUACUUUACAGUCCUGGUGAUUUACUUUACAGUCCUGGUGUUUUACUUUACAGUCCUGGUGUUUUACUUUACAGUCCUGGUGUUUUACUUUACAGUCCUGGUGCUUUAAUUUAAAGUCCUGUUGUUUUACUUUACAGUCCUGGUGCUUUAAUUUACAGUCCUGGUGUUUUACUUUACAGUCCUGGUGCUUUACUUUACAGUCCUGUUUAAGCCCCCUUUUUCUGCUUGAUACUUACUUCAAAUAAUUUAAAACAUUGGUGUUACAGGAACCAAAGAAACCCUACAUUUGACCAUGUAAACUCAAGAACAUACAAGGUAAAUAGUGGACUGUAAAGUGAACCAGCAUUAUAAUACAUGUCUGCAAGAUUUCAUAAUAUCAGGAAAUUUUGCACAGCUCAAGUGAAGUACAAUUUACAAGUGGCCCUAAUAACAAAUAACUACACAUUCUUCAGUAGCUGACCUAUGACCUUUGACCCUUCUGUCUGCCCUUUGCCUUAUUAAUAAACAUCACAUAGUUCAAGUUAAAAAAGACAAAAAUCACCCCACUACUAUACUUUUGGAGAAAGUCAAUAUGUCAACACUGUCCUGUUCCCUUUUGGUAUAUAUUUGGAAAACAUAUUGUAUACUUGUGGAAAAAAGUCCCUUUACGUUUCGGGUACACAUACACAUUCAGGCAUUCACUCUCAUCCUCUUUUCAAACUUCAAAUUCUCAAGUUAUGUUGGUUAACAUUGUGUAGCCACUAGCUACUCAAUAUAUACAGUAGUUUUGGGACACAUGCAACCUCAUACAUAUUCCCAAACAUGUCAAUCACAAAAUGUCAAUACCUAGUUGUCUUUUCAAUAGCUUAAUAGGACUAAUGAUCCAGCUGUCAACAGGGUACUUCUGGUUCUCAGUUAUACAGUUAUAUUGAAAUAAUUAAAGUUCAGCUUAAAUAAAUUAUUUGUAUUUUUUUUCUUCUUUCCAACAAAUAUAUUGUUGUUUCUAUCAGCAUUCAGUCACACAUUUUGUUGAAGAAAACAUGUGCAACUACAGAAAAAACAAAAGCAGUUUUUUUUAUACUUCAUGCCAACUGCCCACAAAAAUAGAUUUAAAAAAAGUACAUUUAAAACUACUUCAUAAACAUGAGCAUAUAGCAGUUCUCCCUGUGCUGCAAACAUUAAAGGAAAUUAUAUCAUAUCCCUGACUAAAUAUACCAACGAACACAAAACAAAAAAAAAUGCAAUUGGUAUUUUUUACAGUAAAGUAUUGACAGAACUGCGGGAUAAGAGAUUGGCUAAAAAUGUAAAAUUCUAUUCUAGAACAGAGUGUAAAGUAUUCCGGAAUGUCCUUUACGUCUGUGUCUCUCCACAGCAGGUUCCAAUGUGUCAGUAUCUACAGAAACACACAUGUAUCAUUCAAUGCAAUGAUUAUUAACAACAUUUUUGUAGAAAUAUUUGUUGUAAGGAAAGUUUGGUCAGUGCAACUAACUAACAGCAACACAUUAGAAACACUGAGUACGUGUUUACAUGCACACUAGAAGUUAAACUGAUUAUGGCAGUAGUCCGAAUAUGCUUUUAAUCAUGUAAACCCCUUAAAUCGGGUGUAAGAUCAAAAUCGAAGUUAGAAUACGUCGAUUAAAACACCUGGUUUUCCGGCCAAUCUUUCAAAUUAUUGGGACAUUUAAAUAGCUUAAACGUAUUUUAUCUGCGCAUGUAUCAGCACAAGCCACCCUCUUAAUGUGCAAGUGGAGCGGCAGGUAGCCUAGAGGUUAGAGAGUUGGACUGAUAAGGUUGCAAGAUCCAGCUGACAAGGAAAAAAUCUGUCAUUCUGCCCCUGAACAAAGACAGUUAACCCACUGUUCCCCGGGCCCUGAACAAAGACAGUUAACCCACUGUUCCCCGGGCCCUGAACAAAGACAGUUAACCCACUGUUCCCCGGGCUCUGAACAAAGACAGUUAACCCACUGUUCCCCGGGCCCUGAACAAAGACAGUUAACCCACUGUUCCCGGG
ensembl:lncRNA